UACGAGGGGGGGCAAGCGUUGUUCGGAAUUAUUGGGCGUAAAGGGUGCGUAGGCGGUCUGACAAGUCUGAUGUGAAAUCUAUGGGCUCAACCCAUAGUCUGCAUCGGAAACUGUCGGGCUUGAGUAUGGGAGAGGUGAGUGGAAUUUCCGGUGUAGCGGUGAAAUGCGUAGAUAUCGGAAGGAACACCUGUGGCGAAAGCGGCUCACUGGACCAUUACUGACGCUGAGCUACGA
rnacentral:rRNA from 1 species